AGUGUAUGGGCAAAUGAAAUGGACUGGCAGAGAAGGAACACCAUUUUAUCUGUUUUUCCUUUUUUGGCUGUUUCAAAAUUUUAAACCCCCCCUUCCCCCUUCAGAACGGUUUAGAAGUCAAAACCCUAAUCUCCACGUUGUGGAACCCCGGAGGUGCUGAAUCCAAAUCCCAUCGUCAUGCCACCGCCUUCUUCUUCCACAGCCGCCGGGCCUCCGCCUAAGCGCCCUAUGGCAGCCGACCCCUCCGCCCAAUCUCUGUCCCAAUUGUCCAAAAGAACCCGAGAACUUCCCAAUCUCUCCCAUUGCCAGGCCUGCAAUUUCCGCAUCACCAACAACGGCAAAGAUCGACUGCACAUCCUUGAUAGCUUCUGGCGCAUCGUUAUUCUCUGCUCCAAGUGCUUUGAUCAGAUGAAUUCCGCCGAUCUCUGCUCCUAUUGUCUCUCUCAAUUGGGCGAGUGCCCUGGUUUUGGUUGCAGUGAUUGUAAGCGUCGUGUCCAUAAAGAUUGUGUUGCCAAGUAUAAGGGUUCCGCGCCUUGGUCCUAUUGCCCGUGUUUGGAGUCUGUUUGUUUGGAUUGUUGGCUUCCAAGUUCGAUGCCCAAUCCUGGUUCGAGGAGUACUAGUGGCGGGAAUGGGAAUUUUCAGGAGAAAAUUGGGAGUGGUAGGGUUUUGGGUGUGAGUCGUAAUAGGAUUUUGGAUAAGGUUUCGAGGACGGAGAGUUUGGAGGAUGUAGUGAAGGAUGUAAAUUGCGAGGUGGAGAAAAAGUUCGUGGUAGCAGCUAGGGCCAAGGAGAAGGCUUUAAGGAAGGUGGUGUUAGCUAAGAGUGCCGUAGAGUUGGCUACUGGUACUUUGGAUUCGGUUGUAAGGAAGGAUGAAAACACUAGGAAGGCAGGUUCUGAGGGCCCUUUCAUGGAUGAUGCGGAAUUGGCUUUUCGGUUGCAUCGAGCUAUGAAUAGUUCACCCAGGAUUUCAAAAAACUUCUGCUCAGUGAAUUCUGUUUCUUCAGCUGUCCCAAAGGCUGUGAAAUGUGACAUUGAUUCCUUGGGUUCCUUGGGUAGAGAGGGUAGUGUUUGUGGGAAUAUUGAUCCUAAUAUAACUGUUUCUGAAACUUCAGUUCAUUGUAGAACUUCUGUUAAGUUGAAUGUGUUAAUUGAAGAGAGCAAAGAAUGCCGUGGAAAUAACAUUACAAGAAUGGGGGCGAUUGAGAUAGGACUGAAUGGGGGUGUUGAUGCCAAGCCUGAUCCUGAAGAUUAUAAGUUGGAGUUACCAUUGAAGGAGGGAGAGGGAAGUUGUUCUAAUAGGUUGGUUAACUCAGGUGCAGACAACAGUAGUAUGGACUGGGAGUCUCAGUCUUGUCAGAAACAAGAUCUGUUGAGACUUGGUUUGCAUGCAAGUGACUAUGGAACUCAAUGUGGAUCCAACUGUGGCAGGGAUGCUAUGCUGCAGGAUAAAGGAUGUAGUAAAAAACCUGAUCGCUAUGUAAGAAAGUAUAGCAAGAGGCAUGCAAGCUUGAAAGCAGUUCUGAAUUCUGUAACCAAAGUCCAUUGUGAAGGUUACCUUGAGAGCCAGGCUUCGGCUCCUGGACUGCCUUUGAAUUGUUCAAAGGCAUCAGAAACAUUCUCUGAUGCUUCUUUUCAGUCUUGUGCUGUACCUGUGCAAGCAUCUGCAUCUGCAUCUGCAUCUGCAAGGGGUUCAUCCUGAGUCCAGUUCAAGAACAGAUGAUGUGAAACUCCCUUGAUUUACCUACCGGCUACAGGGAACUGAAAUGAGUUGGAGUAAUAGAGCAAUUAGUUGAGCCUUUACGAACUAUUUAUUGCUGUUUAGCCUUUAAUCCAAAUUGAAGAUUUACAAUGAGGUUUGGGUGGUUGUAAAGAAGAUCAAGAAAAAUGAUGUCUUACAACUAGUUGGGGUUGAAAUGUUUAAUUGUUAUGAAGCAGUAUCUUUAUGAAGGCACCUGGCUGAGGGUGUGCUUGGAUGUCUGGUACUCCCUUGCCAUUGAUUGAUUUUCCAUUAUCUACACUAGGGGUGACAAUUGCUGUGCUCAUGUUGGGUCAUGUCUUAUUAGGCCUCCAAGGACUAGCCUUUGUUUAAACAAUCUGAUGGACCUAUCUUUGAAGUCUCUUCUUGGCUCCAUUGCUACAAUUAAUAUGACAACACUUGCAAGUGCUUGCCAAGUUUGAAUCUCUCAGUUUGACAGAGUGAGAUUGGAUUCCCAAUCAUUUGAAUUGAAAGUUAAGUCCAGCCAAUCCAAGGAAUAAUGAAAGAGUAGAGAUCUUCAAGUUCAGAUGUAGAAAGAAUAGAAAAUUGGUUCAAACACCAAGGCAACUGCAUAUACUGGAUUGAGAUGUGAGAAUGGUAUGUCUAAGCCAGGAUACACAUCUCUUUUAGAAUGAGUACUACUUGGGCUUCGUUUCAAUGUCAAGGGAUAAGCAGAUGCUAAGGUUUAUUGCAGUGAAAAAUCACACCAUAUCAGCUGUUCUUGCCAAAUUUUUAUGGAAAUCAAAAGCCCCAUCAAAGGUCAAAGCCUUUUCUUGGUUAGUACUGCACAAGAAGGUAAACAUCAAUGACAUGUUACAGUUGAGAAGAUCUUACAAGUCUCUUUGUCCUCAUUGGUGCAUCUUAUGCAUGGGAAGUGGAGAAUCGAUGGACCAUCUUUUUCUAUGUUAUUCAUUAACAUUGAGAGUUCGACACAAGCUUUUCAGUCUAGCCAAGAUUUAUUAGGUUUUGCCUAGGUGUAUAUGUGACAUGAUGAUCAUCUCAUUUAGAGGUUUGAGAAGUUCCAUAAUAGGAAAGACCCUUUGGCAAAUUGUUUGUCUUACUAUGCUUUGAAUUGUGUGGCAAGAGAGAACUGUUAGGAUAUUCGAGGAAAAAUGGAGAAUUGGAAAAGAUAUGAGAUCUACUUUACUUCUAUUCCUCCUUGUGGGCUUCUUAUAUCGCUGCCUUCAAAGGCAUUCCAUUCAAUGUUAUUCAACUCAAUUAUCUCUCUAUUUGUAAUUCGAAGGCGGUGGAUAACGAUGAGAGGAGUUGAGUUCGGUUUUGAGGAGAUGUUACCUUUAUCUAUUCUUAAGUGGCUUAUAUUUUCGUGUAUUGUUCUCUUUGUAUGAAGGAGGUGUUUAGUCUUACUUUCAUUAAUAUUCUGUAUUUUGUGGGGAAGACCUUUCAUCA